rnacentral:rRNA from 1 species
AGAGUUGAUUCUGGCUCAGGACGAACGCUGGCGGCGUGCCUAAUACAUGCAAGUCGAGCGGAUGACGAGGAGCUUGCUCCUCUGAUUCAGCGGCGGACGGGUGAGUAACACGUGGGCAACCUGCCUGUAAGACUGGGAUAACUUCGGGAAACCGGAGCUAAUUACCGGAUAACUCUUCGAACCUCAUGGUUCGAAGAUAAAAGAUGGUUUCGGCUAGUCACUUACAGAUGGGCCCGCGGCGCAUUAGCUAGUUGGUGAGGUAACGGCUUACCAAGGCGACGAUGCGUAGCCGACCUGAGAGGGUGAUCGGCCACACUGGGACUGAGACACGGCCCAGACUCCUACGGGAGGCAGCAGUAGGGAAUCUUCCGCAAUGGACGAAAGUCUGACGGAGCAACGCCGCGUUGAGCGAUGAAGGCCUUCGGGUCGUAAAGCUCUGUUGUUAGGGAAGAACAAGUACCAGUUAACUGCUGGUACCAUGACGGUACCUAACCAGAAGCCACGGCUAACUACGUGCCAGCAGCGGC